rnacentral:rRNA from 1 species
UUUCUCUCUUUCUCUCGCGCACGAUGCGAAUUCUGCGAAGGGUGCAGACUGUAUCCCGCACUACGAUGGGUGUAUAGAGGUUUGUGGCAUCUUCAGGGCUUUGCAAUCCGGUGGAACGGCCCAUAAAAGAACACGCGUAGGCUUGGCGGUAACGACCAAGAUGACUAGACGUCAUACUCCAGCUUCGUCAGGGUCGGUCAUCAGCAGUGUCCUAAGAGUGAUUCGCAAGAGGUGGGGGUAACUAAGGACUAGGGGGUGCUCAUUACGGGAGUGAACUCCCCAUCUCACAACACGAGCUGACGUCCAACAUGCAUCAGCUGUAGUACAGUAGCAGAUGGCAGAAAUUCAUCUGUAGAAGGUGUAUUGGCAUGUCAUGGGCAGGUACGGCUGUGGGGAAGGCGUCCACUUGGACCACAUACUGACACUGAGGUGCGAGAGCGUGGGGAACAAACAGGAUUAGAUACCCUGGGGAGUGCAAUCCCCUAAACGGUGGUGAAUCGCGUUAGGAUCCCCGAUAUUAUUUCAGGGGUACCAACGGGUUAAAGUCGACGCCUUGGGGAGUACGGCCCCCAAGGUUAAAAUUCAAAUUGAAUUGACGGGGGGCCCGCACAAGCGGUGGAGCAUGUGGUUUUAAUUGGAAGCAACGCGAAGAACCUUACCUGGCCUUGACAUGAUGAGAACUUUCCAGAGAUGGAUUGGUGCCUUCGGGAACUCAGACACAGGUGCUGCAUGGCUGUAGUCAGCUCGCGUCGUGAGACCUGGGAUUAAGUUUGAAUCCUACGGGAGGCAGCAGGAGGAGGUCGAAGGGGUUACGGACGUUGGGCAUGGCGGCGCAUCGUGGGCGCAGAGCGGGAAGCCCGAAGUAUACCCGAGCGUCCGCGGCUGGGGCUCCAUAUAAUAAACAGCUUUUCCAUGAUUCAGUCUAGCAAGUGCAUGCGAGAGCGAUCGGAAGGCCCGAUCAGACCCGUCGCUCGAUGAUCAGACUUAGGUAUGGAAUACCCCG